rnacentral:snoRNA from 10 species
CCGGAGGUAGAGAAGGUGGUGCCGGUCAAGACAAUGCGGCAAUCACCGAUACCAACCUCCCACAUCAACCAGCAGAGGGAACAGCCCUGACUUCCAGAAGAGGGCUGACGGCUUCUGCAUCUGCUGACAUCU